rnacentral:rRNA from 1 species
UAAGGUCUCCGUUGGUGAACCAGCGGAGGGAUCAUUACCGAGUUUACAACUCCCAAACCCCUGUGAACAUACCACUUGUUGCCUCGGCGGAUCAGCCCGCUCCCGGUAAAACGGGACGGCCCGCCAGAGGACCCCUAAACUCUGUUUCUAUAUGUAACUUCUGAGUAAAACCAUAAAUAAAUCAAAACUUUCAACAACGGAUCUCUUGGUUCUGGCAUCGAUGAAGAACGCAGCAAAAUGCGAUAAGUAAUGUGAAUUGCAGAAUUCAGCGAAUCAUCGAAUCUUUGAACGCACAUUGCGCCCGCCAGUAUUCUGGCGGGCAUGCCUGUUCGAGCGUCAUUUCAACCCUCAAGCACAGCUUGGUGUUGGGACUCGCGUUAAUUCGCGUUCCCCAAAUUGAUUGGCGGUCACGUCGAGCUUCCAUAGCGUAGUAGUAAAACCCUCGUUACUGGUAAUCGUCGCGGCCACGCCGUUAAACCCCAACUUCUGAAUGUUGACCUCGAAUCAGGUAGGAAUACCCGCUGAACUUAAGCAUAUCAAUAAGCGGAGGA